UACGUAGGGGGCAAGCGUUGUCCGGAUUUAUUGGGCGUAAAGAGCGUGUAGGCGGCCAUACAGGUCCGUUGUGAAAACUGGAGGCUUAACCUCCAGACGUCGAUGGAAACCGUAUGGCUAGAGUCCGGAAGAGGAGAGUGGAAUUCCUGGUGUAGCGGUGAAAUGCGCAGAUAUCAGGAGGAACACCGGUGGCGAAGGCGGUUCUCUGGGCCUUACCUGACGCUGAGGAGCGAAAGCAUGGGGAGCAAACAGG
rnacentral:rRNA from 1 species